rnacentral:rRNA from 1 species
AGUCAAUAGAUACCCAGGUAGUCCACGCCGUAAACGAUGAGUACUAGGUGUAGGAGGUAUCGACUCCUUCUGUGCCGCAGUUAACACAAUAAGUACUCCGCCUGGGAAGUACGGUCGCAAGAUUAAAACUCAAAGGAAUUGACGGGGGCCCGCACAAGCAGCGGAGCAUGUGGUUUAAUUCGAAGCAACGCGAAGAACCUUACCUAGACUUGACAUCCCCUGAAUAACGUAGAGAUACGCGAAGCCCUUCGGGGCAGGGAGACAGGUGGUGCAUGGUUGUCGUCAGCUCGUGUCGUGAGAUGUUGGGUUAAGUCCCGCAACGAGCGCAACCCUUAUCAUUAGUUGCUACCAUUUAGUUGAGCACUCUAGUGAGACUGCCCGGGUUAACCGGGAGGAAGGCGGGGAUGACGUCAAAUCAUCAUGCCCCUUAUGUCUAGGGCUACACACGUGCUACAAUGGUGAGAACAACGAGAUGCAAUACCGCGAGGUGGAGCAAAACUUCAAAACUCAUCUCAGUUCGGAUUGUAGG